rnacentral:lncRNA from 1 species
ACCGUAAAAAGUACUAAGGAUUUUCAUUUUCAAUAUUCUCCUCCAUUAUGAUUUCCAAUACCAAAUGUCAUUUUCUACAUUAUCUAAUCUCCUGAAGAUCAUACCUCCAAGCUUCAAGAUUGACCUGUCUAUCUAAAAAAAAUAAAAGGGAGUGGAUUAUGUCCUCAACUAUUUCAUAAUCCUGGGUCAAUAGCGUCUAAGAUUGUGUAGCAGCAUAUAAUCAAAAUGAUUUUC